AUAUAACAUAAAAUUGAUAUAUUAGAGAGAGCAUAAAGAAAUUGUAAAACCGUUUUCCUUUCUAUGUAAGUUGAUACUUUUUUAUUUAUUACAUAAAAAAAAAUAACUAAGUCAUAAUUUAGCUUUUUCAGAUGUUCAACAGUCAAAUCUGGUGUCAGAUACAACAAAAAAAUAAGAUUCAUUAAUAACAUGGAAAUGUGUAUAUUUGAUGAAUAUGAAGAAGAAGAAAAAAACACAGAAGUUAAAAAAAAGUUGAACUAAAUUAAUUUGUUAUCAAAUACAAAUAAAAAAGUAUAAUGAAAUUCAAUGUUUACCUUUGAUGAUCUUCAAGUUGAAGCAAAAUAAAAUCUUCAAUGUUUACACAGAUUUUGAAUUGUAUAAGAAACCAAAAGCAAGAGAGAAACAAGUCUUAUAAAUGGAAUGAUUAGUUUAAGUCAAGGUCUUAAAGGAAUAAAGGAAAAAGAAGCAAAUAUCUCUUUUAAAAAAGAAAAAGUGAAAAUAAUUGUGUUAGAAAGAUUGUUUAUUAAGAAAAUAAACACAUCCUAAUUAUCACGAGUUGAUACGUUAACUAUUCAUUAUGAAAAAAGGCUUAAAUAUGCCAUCAAAUUAUUAGAAAUAAUUUAUUUAUGUCGUCCGUUCUAAGUUUAACUCAUUUAUGUGUCCGCCUUUAAAAGUUUGGGUUCAUUUAUGACACUAUUGUAAUAAAUUGAUUCAUUCAUGCCAUUAUUUUAUAAUAGUGAUUUUGUAAAAUUAUUUUUGUCGUGUGACAUUUUACUAGAAGUCUACGUCAUCAAAUUUAAAUCAAAUAUAAGCAAAUACAGAAAAUAUCCUUGGCACCUCUGGAACAAACGCUCAAAUCUGAUCUCAGCUGGCAAGGAAAUGUCAUGUAUUUAAGGGAAUCACACAUCAGAGGAUCAUCAUGCUGACGGAAGUAGUAUGUGUUAGUUCUUUCAUGACACUAAGAAGUAUUUUAUGGCAAUUGUAUAUCUUGAUGGAUCUUUGCAUUAGAAGAAGGGAUAAAAUGAGUUGGGUCAAACAAAUUGGGUUCCUUGUUUCAGUUCAUUGAUCGUUGAGAUGUAGUGAGUAUUGAUAGUGCUUUUGCAAUAUUGUAUUUAUUUUGAUCUCUGAUAUGGUGAAGCAUUUGGUAGUUGAAGAAGUGGGAGGCUUUUGGAUAAUUAACUGAUGCUAAGGCCGAAGAUAAUAAAUCUCAAUUAUCUUUUUGUGUUUUCAAACCAACCAUUAAUGCAACAUGAUUGGUACUUUUAUGACGUCAAUGUGACACUGUCUUUAUGGCUGCUGGAUAGGACUUCCGAGAAGAUAUCGGAGAAAGCUUGACAGUUGUUUUACUGCUUCUUCUAAAUGCGACAAAUGAUAAUUUCUCUAAGAGCCUUGUGUUGCACAGGUACCAGGAUGGUGGUCGACUAUCAGAUCAGCAGAUGACGUUGCUGCAAUAUCAACAAGAAAAUUACCCUUUUUAAGUGAGGAGGUACACAGUUAUUAAAAACUUCUGAGAUCUUACUGGCAAUUCACUUCCCAAGCUUUUAGGGGUGGGGAGAGGGUAGAAACGGGACUUUGGUCUGCUUCGGUUUUAUUAGUUGGUGAAUCAAGUACCUAAUAGUUGUGGGAAAAAAGAUCUCGAGAAACAUAAACUGACAAAAUCUUAGUGGAAGUAGCAUCUAUUUAAGGUGCUAUCUAGUUUUUCUGUCCUUAUAGUAGGGGCACAAAAGCUUUCCGUGAUUCUAUCAGUUCGACUAAUAUCAGCAACAACAAUAUCAACAACACACCCAGUGUAGUCCCACAAGUGGGGUGUGGGGUCGAUAUUGUGUAUACAGAUUUUUCCCGUAUCUUGGGAGAUAGAAAGACUGUUUCCGAUAGACCCUCGGCUCGAGAAAAUGCCAGAGUGGAGAAACCAAGACAAAAAUUACACAAGGCAUGACAAAGCAUACUGAAAAGGGAACAAUAACUACAACAAAAUAAUACGAUAAAUGAACUACAACGGACAAUAUAUAGCAGUAGAAAUCAAAGGAACAAAGGCCUACAGGAGUAAUACUACAGCUACUAGUAUGUGAGGAUAAACGAGACUACACUCAGCUACCUACCAACCUUCCAUGCUAAUCCUUGUCCUCCAUAAUCUCCUAUCUAUGGUCAUGUUAGGAUGGAGCUAUGCUAUGUCCUGUUUAAUCACCUCACCUUAGUAUUUUUUCGGUCUACCUCUACCUCUCCCAAAACCAUUCAUGGCCAAAAAGGGGAAGAAUAUCAAAAAGAAGAAAUAUCAUAUAUGCUGAGAACAAUAUUGCAUACACCAGCACUCACAUCCUUAAUGAUUUUCUCGAGAAUUUAUUUUCUUAAAGAAAAAUUGGUAACUGUAUAAUAUGGUACUGCUGAUAAUGAGAUCAGCCAUCUUGUGCAGUCAUUAAUCACUAGAAUCUGGGAUUAAGUUUUGAAAGUGAUGAAGUUAACGACUCGGCUUUGUCCUUUUUUCAAUUCUAACAGACAUAUGGUUCUGAAUAGUACAAGUGCAAUUGAAUGCCUGUUUUGUGGGCUUCCUUUUGAAUGAGAUUCUUCUCUUCUACUAAAUACUUGUGGGUUUCAGAUGAAUCAAUUGCAAUCUGAGCUGAGGCUUGCUCGAUAUCGGCCUAAUAAAAGUGAACCAUUUUGAAAGAAUUUAGCACAUUCUUCUGUAUUUCAUGGCUCCUGGCAAUACUAAGAUCCCACAAGUGGUGUCCGGGGAGGUUUUGGGUGGGGGGUACGCAGACCUUAUCCCAAUAUCUUGACAAUUAAUCAUUUAUCGGCCUAACAAAAUUGGCCUGUUUUUUGAAAAAAUUGGUACACUUAUCAAUCUGUACUAUUACUGUUUUUGUUAUUGUCUGAUAUUUCUUGUACUUCCGUUACUUCUUUUCUGGACAAUUUUGGACUGUUUUUCUUGAGCCGAGGGUCUAUCUGAAACAACCUCUCUACCUUUGAGGUAGCCUUAAGGUCUGCAUACACUCUACCCUCCUCGCACCCAACUUUGUGAGACUACACCGGGUAUGUUGUUGUAUUGAGCAGACUGUACUUUUGCUGGUAUAAGAGCCGUUGGUAGUAGUUAGUCGAUCACGACUAGGUAUGUUCUAUCUUCAUUGUUUUUUGUAUAGUAUUUGGACUCACACAGUAUCACUUGAUCCUGCCUUUUUUAUUUUUCGACGAAGAGUGCAUAACAUCUCUCUCUGAAACAGUAUGUAGAAGAAAACGAGAGACUCAGAGCUAUUCUGGGAGAAUGGAGCAACCGAGCAGCUAAGCUCGAACGUGCAUUGGAGCUGGAACGGAUGCCAAACUUGGAACUGCAGAAAAAAAUGACCACACUGAAAACUCAAACGCGUGAAUAGUUCAGCCCCACUAGCAAGGUUAGCAAGUGGUUACUUCUUUAGCAGUUGAGCAACAAACAUGCAUGAACCAUUUCAUGAAGUAUGUGUCCGGAUAGUCAAGAGUCUCGGUAGUUAACUCUCGGCCUCCCAGUCAAAAAACAACUUCGAUGAAGAGUUCAGGUGCUUUUGCAAAACCAUUCCUGGAAGAUAUAAUGGUCCUAUCUGCACACGUACAGAUUAAGCUCAAAACAAUAGUUUGCUUGAUGUGUACCAUCUUCAAGACUAUCAGCUUUGUAUAGUUUUUUACUCUAUUUAUCUCAUAUGUUUUUGGAAGAAAUUUUUGUUUCAACAAUUUGCUUUCACUGUAAAUGUGGCAUUUUAUGGCCAUAGGCAAAUCUUAGAAGGAUGGUGAUUUCCAAAGACAAUGUGCUCAACAUUCGAUGACAUCGAAAGAUC